GACGAACGCUGGCGGCGUGCUUAACACAUGCAGGUCGAACGAUGAACCCGGGGCUUGCUCCGGCGGAUUAGUGGCGAACGGGUGAGUAACACGUGAGUAACCUGCCCUUGACUCUGGGAUAACUGCUAGAAAUGGUAGCUAAUACCGGAUACGACCCUCGGUGGCAUCACCAGGGGGUGGAAAGAAUUUCGGUCAAGGAUGGACUCGCGGCCUAUCAGCUAGUUGGUGAGGUAACGGCUCACCAAGGCGACGACGGGUAGCCGGCCUGAGAGGGUGACCGGCCACACUGGGACUGAGACACGGCCCAGACUCCUACGGGAGGCAGCAGUGGGGGAUAUUGCACAAUGGGCGCAAGCCUGAUGCAGCAACGCCGCGUGAGGGAUGACGGCCUUCGGGUUGUUAACCUCUUUUAGUAGGGAAGAAGCGAAAGUGACGGUACCUGCAGAAAAAGCACCGGCUAACUACGUGCCAGCCGCCGCUGUAA
rnacentral:rRNA from 1 species